rnacentral:rRNA from 1 species
GACGAACGCGGGCGGCGUGCUUAAUACAUGCAAGUAGAACGCUGAAGGAGGAGCUUGCUUCUCUGGAUGAGUUGCGAACGGGUGAGUAACGCGUAGGUAACCUGCCUGGUAGCGGGGGAUAACUAUUGGAAACGAUAGCUAAUACCGCAUAAGAGUAGAUGUUGCAUGACAUUUGCUUAAAAGGUGCAAUUGCAUCACUACCAGAUGGACCUGCGUUGUAUUAGCUAGUUGGUGGGGUAACGGCUCACCAAGGCGACGAUACAUAGCCGACCUGAGAGGGUGAUCGGCCACACUGGGACUGAGACACGGCCCAGACUCCUACGGGAGGCAGCAGUAGGGAAUCUUCGGCAAUGGACGGAAGUCUGACCGAGCAACGCCGCGUGAGUGAAGAAGGUUUUCGGAUCGUAAAGCUCUGUUGUAAGAGAAGAACGAGUGUGAGAGUGGAAAGUUCACACUGUGACGGUAUCUUACCAGAAAGGGACGGCUAACUACGUGCCAGCAGCCGCGGUAAUACGUAGGUGGCAAGCGUUAUCCGGAUUUAUUGGGCGUAAAGAGAGUGCAGGCGGUUUUCUAAGUCUGAUGUGAAAGCCUUCGGCUUAACCGGAGAAGUGCAUCGGAAACUGGAUAACUUGAGUGCAGAAGAGGGUAGUGGAACUCCAUGUGUAGCGGUGGAAUGCGUAGAUAUAUGGAAGAACACCAGUGGCGAAGGCGGCUACCUGGUCUGCAACUGACGCUGAGACUCGAAAGCAUGGGUAGCGAACAGG